AACGAACGCUGGCGGCAUGCCUAACACAUGCCAGUCGAACGAGACCUUCGGGUCUAGUGGCGCACGGGUGCGUAACGCGUGGGAACCUGCCUUUAGGUUCGGAAUAACUCAGAGAAAUUUGAGCUAAUACCGGAUGAUGUCUUCGGACCAAAGAUUUAUCGCCUUUAGAUGGGCCCGCGUUGGAUUAGCUAGUUGGUGGGGUAAAGGCCUACCAAGGCGACGAUCCAUAGCUGGUCUGAGAGGAUGAUCAGCCACACUGGGACUGAGACACGGCCCAGACUCCUACGGGAGGCGGCAGUGGGGAAUAUUGGACAAUGGGCGAAAGCCUGAUCCAGCAAUGCCGCGUGAGUGAUGAAGGCCUUAGGGUUGUAAAGCUCUUUUACCCGAGAUGAUAAUGACAGUAUCGGGAGAAUAAGCUCCGGCUAACUCCGUG
rnacentral:rRNA from 1 species